AAAAAGACAAAACAUAUGUUUCUGUGCCAAUGUUUGACUGUCUGUCUUAUAUGAAAUUUUUUUAUAAUUAAUAUUUUCAUUGUUGUUAGAUGAUAAAAUAUGAUUAAUACUUUAUGCGUGACUUAUCUUUUUUAAUUUUUUUCAUAGUUUUUUCAAAUAAGACGGACGGUCAAACGUUGGACACGGAUUUCCACUGCUGCACUUAUU
rfam:Oryza nivara chromosome 2, whole genome shotgun sequence.